AGCAGCCGUGGUAAUUCCAGCUCCAAUAGCGUAUAUUAAAGUUGUUGACAGUUAAAAAGCUCGUAGUUGAAUUUCGGGAUCAAUACGUCGGUCGUGCUUUCGGGUACGUACUGGCGUCAUUGGUUUCUCCUUUCUGACGAACCAUGAUGUCAUUAAUUUGGUGUUAUGGGGAGUUAGGACUGUUACUUUGAAAAAAUUAGAGUGUUUAAAGCAGGCUAACGCUUGAAUACAUUAGCAUGGAAUAAUGAAAUAGGACGUUAAUCCUAUUUUGUUGGUUUCUAGGAUCGACGUAAUGAUUAAUAGGGAUAGUUGGGGGCAUUAGUAUUCAAUUGUCAGAGGUGAAAUUCUUGGAUUUAUUGAAGACUAACUACUGCGAAAGCAUUUGCCAAGGAUGUUUUCAUUAAUCAAGAACGAAAGUUAGGGGAUCGAAGACGAUCAGAUACCGUCGUA
rnacentral:rRNA from 1 species